rnacentral:rRNA from 1 species
UGGGCAAUCUGCCCUUAAGACCGGGACAACAGCUGGAAACGGCUGCUAAUACCGGAUGAACCAGUAGGCAGGCAUCUGCUAACUGGCAAAGGUGGCCUCUGAAAAUGCUACCGCUUAAGGAUGAGCCCGCGUCUGAUUAGCUAGUUGGUGAGGUAACAGCUCACCAAGGCGACGAUCAGUAGCCGGCCUGAGAGGGUGAACGGCCACACUGGGACUGAGACACGGCCCAGACUCCUACGGGAGGCAGCAGUGGGGAAUCUUCCGCAAUGGGCGAAAGCCUGACGGAGCAACGCCGCGUGAAUGAAGAAGGCCUUCGGGUCGUAAAGUUCUGUCUUAUGGGACGAAGGUCUCCUAUGUGAAUAAUGUAGGAGGAUGACGGUACCAUAGGAGGAAGCCCCGGCUAACUACGUGCCAGCAGCCGCGGUAAUACGUAGGGGGCAAGCGUUGUCC